rnacentral:rRNA from 1 species
CGAGUAGGCGGUAGAGCAAGUCUGAGGUGGAAUCCUAUGGCUUAACCAUAGAACUGCCUUAGAAACUGCUUUACUUGAGUCAGUGAGGGGAGGGCGGAAUUCCUGGUGUAGCGGUGAAAUGCGUAGAUAUCAGGAGGAAGGCCUGUGGCGAAAGCGGCCCUCUGGCACUGUACUGACGCUGAGGCGCGAAAGCGUGGGGAGCAAACAGGAUUAGAUACCCUGGUAGUCC